UAAAACUCGACGUUUUUGUCUGAACUAGUUUCGUAGUGAAGAAGAAAUGCACCCGGCCAAGUUUUGUCUGAAAUGUGUACUUUUAUCUCACCACACUUGAGAUCAAUAUGGCGACCGUUGAAGACUCUAGAAGAUCACUCAGUCAGUAUUAAAAGCCCUUCAAUGAAACCAUUAGAAGAGAGAAUCAGCACUCACUUAGCGGCCUGGGGAAACAAUGGAGGAGGGACCACAGAGAGUUUACACAAACACAUGAUGAACAAAGAGAAAAACAAGAAAUAAAAAUAAGACCGUAAUUUGCAGUCUAUUUGACUGUUGAAACAGAUGCACCUAUUGAAAGACCGAUGAGGGGAAAGGAUGGAGAAGGCCAAGAGGGAUCCGUUUGGAUGGGUGAUGGGUGGAGAAGAAUGAGGUAGUGAGAGAAAGAAAACAAGAGAGAUAGAUGACAGUGGAGGAAAGACAGAUGGUGGAGUGAGUCCAGUUUUGGUAGAACUAUUAAUGGACACAGCUGUCACUUCUGUGUGUGUGUGUGUGUGUGUGUGUGUUUGUAAGGGAGAUGUGUCUGAAUAUUAGCACCACUCUUAAGAUGAAAAUUCAAAACAUUUGACUUCAAUUCUCUUACUCUCUCUAUCUCAGUUUUCCUCUUCUGUUAGACGAAUCCAUUUGUGAGAUAAAGAAAUCAAGAAUUCAGUGUUUGAACAUAGAGCACCUUCUGGUAGAUGUGGUUACUACACCAUCUGGGUGCAAAAAGCAUUUUCUUCUUUGUUCAUUGACUGCCAUUUACAAUUAGCCACAAAAUAUAAAUGUGUAAAUAUUUCAUUCUAUUAUAUUAGAUGUAGAACCAGCAACUAUAUUUGUUUGUUUGUUUGCAGUCUCUUGUACAUGUGGAAUGGAUUUAUAUUUUUGCCUGUCUGCUGCCUUUGACAUUACAGUUCAGGAUCACUAGUGAAAUGUUAGGGAUUGUGCACAUUGUUGUUGUGCCAUCAGCCAAACAGCAUUGCCAUGACUCCAUAAUAAUUACUCGCAUGCAUUUACUGCUUAGGUGAUUAUCUUAAACACCUGAAUCUGGAACUGAAUGCCCAUCUCAUGGCAGAUUUCAAAUAACAUACUACGGUGGUCCUGCGCCAGCCGAUCAAUUACAACGAAUAACAAUACUAGUAACAAACACAGACCAGUGGUUUUCAUCUGAUGUUCUCAGCAAACGUCCAAGGAGACCUUUAGAUGACUUAUAAUGAUUUAAAAUAUAACACAAUUUGUACUAACAGGAUAAUCCACCCAAAAAGGUGGAUUUCUGUCAUGAUUUACUUAAAAAUUUCUGUCAUGAUUUAUUUACCCUCAUGUUGUUCCA